CUGGGAAUUCGUACUGUUCAGAUCUUUGGACAGGUUUAAUAGUUUUCGAAGUUGGGGGGCUAAGUCACACCUUGUUGUCAGAUUGCUUUCUCACACAUAUUAUUACCUGUGGAUUAUUUAAGUUCUGGUAGAAGCAACAUUUGAAUUCAGACAUGGACUAUAAUGAUCAGAGUGGUUCAGAGAUGUCCACACAAAAGGAGUCAGAUGGGUAUCCAGUACAGAUAGCAGAGGUUACAAGAGAAAAACUUAUACUAAAUGAAGAAGCCCUUGAAAUGGUCUUGACGCAACCACAGUUGGAAGAUUUGCCAGUGAUGGUUUUGUCAUGUGCUGGCAUAUUUCGCUCAGGAAGAUCAUUCUUACUCAAUUUGUUGAUCAGAUACCUCAACCAAGGUGUAAGUACUGUAUAGAACUAUUUACAAAAGUGGCACAC
rnacentral:misc_RNA from 1 species